AUGGCACUGUUUCAGUUAUGCAAUACUUGCAGUUAACCAUAAGAGGGCAGUAGUUACUCAAUAUUUCCUUUGACAAUACUGAAGCUUUAUUGGGUAUCCACAAGCUCCUCCUUGGAUCAUCAUUAUUAUAAUACUAAAAGUAAAUUUCUCCCACUGCUGAUUUAUCUGAACUUCAAGGUUUAUUCAGCAGUCAUGUCACACAAGUUGAGGAAUAUAUUUCUCUUCACACUCUUCAUUCUUGAGUGCAGAUCAGAGGACACAGUUGAUCAGCCAGACAAACAUGUGACUGAAGCUGAAGGAAGAUCAGUGACAUUACAGUGUAAAUAUAAAACAGAUUCAACAGGAGAAUAUUUAUUCUGGUACAUCCAGAGAGCAAAUGACUUUCCUAAAUACAUCCUGAGGAGAAGCAAAUAUGGAGGAGAAAAUGGCACUGAGUUCCAGGAGAGAUUUCACUCUGAACUUUCAUCAAAUUCAGUUCCUCUGAAGAUCAAGGAUCUGCGUGUGUCUGACUCUGCUGUGUAUUACUGUGCUCUGAGGCACAUCUUUGGCAAUAUAAAGAUGAAUCACAUUAAAACCAAUAUUGUCUUACUGUAGUUGACAAAUCGAUUUGAUAAAUAAAAAGAAACUGGCAAAUGUAACAAAAGUUAAAAUAUCUCAAAUGAUUCUCAUGUAUUAUAAAGCACACACAUUCAAACUGAGCUGUUGCUUGUUCUAAAUUAUGGUUAUACAAGUUAGCUAAAUAUAUAUAACUAUAAAGUAAAUAUUCUUCAUAUUUCCAUCAGUUAAUAUUUUCAUGAGAAAUGAGAGGAAAUUACUCUGAAAAAUGCAAAGACAUCUAGUAUUUAAGCCACACCUUUAUAAAGCAGGAAGUUCCUGUGUGUGUUUGUGACUGAUCUGCAGUGACUUACAGCUCAAGCACUGAGAGCCUCAACAGAGAACUGAUCUGAUCUGAUUCAACAUGGACACAUGCUUCAUACUGAUUCUCAU